rnacentral:rRNA from 1 species
CUCCAGACUCCUACGGGAGGCAGCAGUGGGGAAUAUUGCGCAAUGUGGGCAACCCUGACGCAGCAACGCCGCGUGAUUGAAGAAGGCCUUCGGGUUGUAAAGAUCUUUAAACAGGGACGAAGAAAUGACGGUACCUGAAGAAUAAGCUCCGGCUAACUACGUGCCAGCAGCCGCGGUAAUACGGAGGAUGCGAGCGUUAUCCGGAUUUAUUGGGUUUAAAGGGUGCGUAGGCGGAUUUUUAAGUCAGCGGUAAAAUGUCCGGGCUCAACCCGGGCCGGCCGUUGAAACUGGGGAUCUUGAGUGGGCGAGAAGUAUGCGGAAUGCGUGGUGUAGCGGUGAAAUGCAUAGAUAUCACGCAGAACUCCGAUUGCGAAGGCAGCAUACCGGCGCCCAACUGACGCUCAGGCACGAAAGCGUGGGUAUCGAACAGGAUUAGAUACCCUCGUAU